rnacentral:tRNA from 1 species
GCAAAAUCAAAAUGGGGUAAACAAGAGGAAGCAGCGGAAAAUCAUUCACGAUUGCCUUCCGAUUCCAAAGGUCACAGGUUCGAAUCCUGUCGGGUGCGCCA